CAGCAGCCGCGGUAAUACAGAGGGUGCGAGCGUUAAUCGGAUUUACUGGGCGUAAAGCGUGCGUAGGCGGCUUUUUAAGUCGGAUGUGAAAUCCCUGAGCUUAACUUAGGAAUUGCAUUCGAUACUGGGAAGCUAGAGUAUGGCAGAGGGGGGUGGAAUUCCGCGUGUAGCAGUGAAAUGCGUAGAUAUGCGGAGGAACACCGAUGGCGAAGGCAGCCCCCUGGGCCAACACUGACGCUCAUGCACGAAAGCGUGGGGAGCAAACAGGAUUAGAGACCCCGGUAGUCCCUGUCUCUUAUAA
rnacentral:rRNA from 1 species